ACGUUACAAGUGUGAGUGGUGGUGGUUUGGGCUUCACGGCAAAGUAGAGCGUGCCAUCUGAACAAGCAAUAGACGGGCUACGGCGACGUCAGAAGAGCCGACGGGGACCGAUUAAAGGCUGAAAAGUUAAGCGUGUGCCUCAAAGCUAAUUUUGUCCGGUUUACAGCAAAUAGCUUACUAGUAAAACACAUUUUCUACCGCAAUGGGCCGCAAGAAGAAGAAGGCAUCAAAGCCCUGGUGCUGGUACUGCAACAGAGAAUUCGACGAUGAAAAGAUUCUGGUACAACAUCAGAAGGCGAAGCAUUUUAAAUGCCACAUUUGUCACAAAAAGCUUUACACGGGUCCAGGACUUUCGAUACACUGUAUGCAAGUGCACAAGGAAUCGAUCGACAAGGUUCCAAAUUCGCUUCCCAACCGGUCGAACAUAGUGAUCGAAAUUUACGGCAUGGAAGGAAUACCUCCGGAAGAUAUCCGUGACCACGAAAAGCAGAAGAAUGGAAACCGGUCCGAGUCAGAGGAAGAGGAACCAGCGCACAAGAAAAUGAAACAACCGGAAGCAUCCGUACCACAGGGAAUGAUGCAGAUACAGAAUAUGAUGCCACCGCAUCUGCAGGCAGCGUACGGUAUCAAUCCUAUGAUGAGCGCGAUGGGAGGCAUGAACCCGUACAUGGUGCCACCGGGAAUGCAAAUGAUGCCGACGAUGAUGGCCACCGCUCCCCGGCCGCUUUUCCCAGCAGCUGCAACUGCAAAUGCCGCUACCGUACCUACCACCUCCAAGCCGACAUUUCCAGCUUACAGUUCAGCCACGAUAAGUGCCCCGCCAACCACUAACAGUGCUAUCUCAGCUGCGGCAGCAAGCAAUAAUAGCAAUAAUGGGCUGGGUGGUGGUGACCUUUCGAAGGGUGGAUCCACAACCGGACUACCAAACUCGGCCACCGCAACUUCCAAGAUUGUACAUCCGCCUGAGGAUCUGAGCUUGGAGGAAAUUCGGGCACGGAUGCCUCAGUAUCAAAAGCAAAUCCAGCAAGCCACCCAGCAAAUGCUGCAGCAAAAGCAGCAGGAAAAACAACAAGCGCAGGUGGCGGCUGCAGUUGCGGCGGCUCAGCAGCAAUUACAGGCACAGGCCCAAGCACAACUAAAGCAACACCAGCAGCAGCAACAGCAACAGCAGCAGCAGCAGCAACAGCAACAGCAACAACAGCAGCAGCAGCAACAACAGCAACAUCAGGCUCAGCUACAGCAAUUAUCGCCUUUUUCAUCGGCCGCUGGAACCGCAUCGAUCAUUUCCAACACGCAAACGACCGCCGUAAUGAAAGACAAUCGAAUGAUGUCACCGCAGGAGCAAGCCGCUGUGAUAGCGCAUGCUCAUGCCGCUGCGGCCAACCACCAUAAACAGAUCGAGGAAUUGAAUCGUGCAGCAAUGAUUCAACGAUUUCAGGCAGCAAACGCGGCUGCGGCAAAUGCUGCCGCAGCUGCCGCCAGCAGACCAGGAAUGCCAAUCGGAAUGGUUCCAGUAUCGCUCGGAGGUCCCGUACCGUUAAUGCCACCCAUGAUGCGCCAAGGAUUGGCACUUGGCCCCCCGGGGGGCGGUAACUUGGCGUUAUUGGGUGGAAAUAUGCUUCGUCCUGGUCCCCCCCAAAUGGGUCUUGGUCCAGUGCAAUGACGUCUCACAAAUUCGAGUUCAACGCACUCGAGAUUUCCUCGUGCGCAAACUGUGUCCGCCCAAGGACACCAGUGCAGUACACAAUCGAGAAAUGAAAAAUGAAAUAAAAUAUAAUAAAGGGAUGGAUGAUAGUUUCAUACCUGUUACCACUCUUCCCCGUGUCUAAGAUAAGCCUAUAAAAUACUACUAACUCACUUAAAUGUGUAUUCUACUACCCCUUUUCUGCCAGUAACAUUGUGUGUAUGUGUGCAUUUGU